rnacentral:sRNA from 1 species
UUAUUAAGGGAAAUAUUUAUUUAAAGAAGGUCUCAUUUACUACACCUCAUUUAGAAUGACUUUUCUUCCCCUUCAUGUGUUAAUAAACGUAUUUCUUUACAUUGCUUUAAAACACUUGCAUCUUUGCUCUUUUCUAACUCUGAGCUUUCUUCUGUGGCUGCAUCUGAGGUGCUUUUUUCAGGUGAUGAAACUUACCAGGACAUAUUUCGUGAUUUUUCCCAAAUGGCAUCCAAUAAUCCAGAGAAACUAAAUCGUUUCCAGCAAGAUUCACAGAAAUUCUGAAUUUUUUUAAAAAUGGGAAAAUAUGAAAUCUGGUGACCCCCUAAUGUAUACAGCUAAAAAUUCACAAUUUUUUACUGCUUUAAUUCUACUUAAUUUUGGUAGAUAUUGAAUGGCUUGUAAAAAAAGGUACCCAUUCAUUUAUUUAUAAAUUAAAAUAUAGUUAUCUAGUAAUUGGAGAGGAACCUAGUUUAGGACCUCUUUUAUUAAAAAAGCCUAUUUAAAGGGCUCUGUAGAUAAAAGUUCAGUCUAGAUUUAGGCCAUCUCUAGGUUAGAAGAUGAUAGGAGGUUAG